ACAGCGUGACAGGAAUCCCACUGCUCUGAGGAAAAGACGGCAAGCGGCAUCCCGGGCUGAGUUACCAACAACUAAUGGAAGAUAAACAAAUGAAACUGAGGAAGUCUGGAUGACAAACGAAAAAGAGGAGCUCUAAAUAGAGGAGCUCCCGCAGAAGACGGCGGAAGAAGCCACGUGUGGAACUGGGCGGCAGGAGGAUGCAAGCAGAGGGAGCAAGAAGAGGAAGCAGAAGACUGCGGCUGGGCUAAGGGAGAGGCGGCCUGGGCAAAAGCAUCUCCCUGUCACCAGGGGCAUAGUCAUGUCGCAGUAGAGCGUUGCCGGCACUUUAGGUGACCAGGCCGGCUUUGUGCUGGGCGACCUCCCUGUAAGCAGGGCUCGGGUCUUUGCUGUAGUUGGCCUUUUGCCUUGUUGCUCCUUUGGCUGCCUGGGGAAGGUGGGCCCCUGUAAGGAGGGCGAGAGCCGCUUUCUCCGCACCCGAGUGGGAAAUGGAGCUCGCUGGACCCCACGGGCACCCUGUAAGCAGGGUAGCGCCCUUCCCCUGCCACUGUUCCUCUGGCCGCUCAGCGCUGAUGCCUGCUGGUGGCCUGCCCGUGUGUUGGCCCUGUACUCGGGGCGUGUGUCACGCCACUUGGCCUUAAGUCACCUGGGAAUCCCCUUGGCGCGUUGAGGUCUGAGGCCUCCGUGCAGCCCCGGGGCGGGACAGAGGCUCUUGUCUGCUGCUUGUGGGUACGGGGUUUUAUUUCCCCAGGCCUUGGCUGCACUGCCUUCUCCUUCCGUUCUGGAAAGCCCUGUCUGUGUGGUUGUGUUCCCCUUCCUUCCCUUGUUUGCUUUUGUGUGUGUGACUGUGCGAUUGAAGUCUCCCCUUAGGCCUCCAUGACUAUGGCUGCAGCUUAGCUGUGGCUUCCCAGGGGGGAAUGGAGGACUCGGUGGAUGCAGCAAGGGGGAUGUUCCCUCUUAGCUCCGCGAGUGGUGCAAGUGUCCUUUUGUCUUGCCCCUUUUUUCCUAGGGCAGAACAGAGCUGUGUGGUAGUUGCGUGGCCAUGGCCGCCCUGUAUCCAGGGUUUGGGUCUGUGCCUGUGUGGCCCCCUGUCCUGCUGGUGACACGCCAGCGUGACAGCCCCGUACUCGGGGCGUGUGUCACAAACUGUGGAGCCCUCUGUCCCCGGAGCGGCCCGCCCCCCCUGUAAUCAGGUCUGGGGAGGCUGCGUUGGUGCAGCCGGCUGCUUUAGCCAGCUGGUGGGAGUGACCCCUCCCUGGCCCGUUAGAGGGUGCAGGUUGAGGUGCUACUUGUGGCUGGGGCGACCUCCCCGCUGUGUGGGUAGAGGUUGUUCCCUGGGCUCCUGAAGACGUGGUGAUGAUUGUGCUGCGGCCGGGCGGGCCCGCCUGUACCUCGGGCGUUGGCAGGAGCUGCGUGCUCCGUGGGGCUUUUGGACGUGGUGCGGCGUGGGGUACCGUCCUGUAGUCAGGGCUGUGCGUGCCCCCUGCGCUUAGGAGGAUGAGUUCUGAGAGACCCCCUGUACUCAGGUGGGUACCUUCGGCCCGGCCUUUCAGAGGCGUGGUGCUGAGAGAUGUGGGGUUGGGAUCUCGGCCUUUGGCCGUGCCGCCCUGCUGCCUGGCCGCUGAGAGUCGUUCCUGCUGGCGAGGGGGAAACCGAGCUCUGUGGCUCCUGGGUGUCAUCGCCCCGCCUGUAAGCAGGGUCUGUGGGUGGGAGCCUUUGUGCUCCGCUGGCAGCCUGUGUGGGGCGACCGCCCUGAUAGCAGGGUUUGGGUCAAGGUGCCCCUGACUGGGGGAGAAGGAGCCCCCCGUGGCCUUCUGGGACCGGGGCUGCCCUGUAAGUCAGGGUGUGGCUGAGCCCUGGGGUACCAGGCCCUUUGCGGUGGAAGCGGCGACCGGGGCCCCUCUGUAAGCAGGGGUGUGGACCCUUUGGCCGCCACGUUGUGUGCCCAGCCCCAUUUGCCCAGGCUGCCCGACUCUGCGGCCCGUUGCAGCAGCGUCUGGAAGUCCGCGGCGCAUGGAAGUGGAGCUCCCGCAGAAGACGGCGGAAGAAGCCACGUGUGGAACCGGGCGGCAGGAGGAUGCAAGCAGAGGGAGCAAGAAGAGGAAGCAGAAGACUGCGGCUGGGCUAAGGGAGAGGCGGCCUGGGCAAAAGCAUCUCCCUGUCACCAGGGGCAUAGUCAUGUCGCAGUAGAGCGUUGCCGGCACUUUAGGUGACCAGGCCGGCUUUGUGCUGGGCGACCUCCCUGUAAGCAGGGCUCGGGUCUUUGCUGUAGUUGGCCUUUUGCCUUGUUGCUCCUUUGGCUGCCUGGGGAAGGUGGGCCCCUGUAAGGAGGGCGAGAGCCGCUUUCUCCGCACCCGAGUGGGAAAUGGAGCUCGCUGGACCCCACGGGCACCCUGUAAGCAGGGUAGCGCCCUUCCCCUGCCACUGUUCCUCUGGCCGCUCAGCGCUGAUGCCUGCUGGUGGCCUGCCCGUGUGUUGGCCCUGUACUCGGGGCGUGUGUCACGCCACUUGGCCUUAAGUCACCUGGGAAUCCCCUUGGCGCGUUGAGGUCUGAGGCCUCCGUGCAGCCCCUUUUGUCUUGCCCCUUUUUUCCUAGGGCAGAACAGAGCUGUGUGGUAGUUGCGUGGCCAUGGCCGCCCUGUAUCCAGGGUUUGGGUCUGUGCCUGUGUGGCCCCCUGUCCUGCUGGCGACACGCCAGCGUGACAGCCCCGUACUCGGGGCGUGUGUCACAAACUGUGGAGCCCUCUGUCCCCGGAGCGGCCCGCCCCCCCUGUAAUCAGGUCUGGGGAGGCUGCGUUGGUGCAGCCGGCUGCUUUAGCCAGCUGGUGGGAGUGACCCCUCCCUGGCCCGUUAGAGGGUGCAGGUUGAGGUGCUACUUGUGGCUGGGGCGACCUCCCCGCUGUGUGGGUAGAGGUUGUUCCCUGGGCUCCUGAAGACGUGGUGAUGAUUGUGCUGCGGCCGGGCGGGCCCGCCUGUACCUCGGGCGUUGGCAGGAGCUGCGUGCUCCGUGGGGCUUUUGGACGUGGUGCGGCGUGGGGUACCGUCCUGUAGUCAGGGCUGUGCGUGCCCCCUGCGCUUAGGAGGAUGAGUUCUGAGAGACCCCCUGUACUCAGGUGGGUACCUUCGGCCCGGCCUUUCAGAGGCGUGGUGCUGAGAGAUGUGGGGUUGGGAUCUCGGCCUUUGGCCGUGCCGCCCUGCUGCCUGGCCGCUGAGAGUCGUUCCUGCUGGCGAGGGGGAAACCGAGCUCUGUGGCUCCUGGGUGUCAUCGCCCCGCCUGUAAGCAGGGUCUGUGGGUGGGAGCCUUUGUGCUCCGCUGGCAGCCUGUGUGGGGCGACCGCCCUGAUAGCAGGGUUUGGGUCAAGGUGCCCCUGACUGGGGGAGAAGGAGCCCCCCGUGGCCUUCUGGGACCGGGGCUGCCCUGUAAGUCAGGGUGUGGCUGAGCCCUGGGGUACCAGGCCCUUUGCGGUGGAAGCGGCGACCGGGGCCCCUCUGUAAGCAGGGGUGUGGACCCUUUGGCCGCCACGUUGUGUGCCCAGCCCCAUUUGCCCAGGCUGCCCGACUCUGCGGCCCGUUGCAGCAGCGUCUGGAAGUCCGCGGCGCAUGGAAGUGGAGCUCCCGCAGAAGACGGCGGAAGAAGCCACGUGUGGAACCGGGCGGCAGGAGGAUGCAAGCAGAGGGAGCAAGAAGAGGAAGCAGAAGACUGCGGCUGGGCUAAGGGAGAGGCGGCCUGGGCAAAAGCAUCUCCCUGUCACCAGGGGCAUAGUCAUGUCGCAGUAGAGCGUUGCCGGCACUUUAGGUGACCAGGCCGGCUUUGUGCUGGGCGACCUCCCUGUAAGCAGGGCUCGGGUCUUUGCUGUAGUUGGCCUUUUGCCUUGUUGCUCCUUUGGCUGCCUGGGGAAGGUGGGCCCCUGUAAGGAGGGCGAGAGCCGCUUUCUCCGCACCCGAGUGGGAAAUGGAGCUCGCUGGACCCCACGGGCACCCUGUAAGCAGGGUAGCGCCCUUCCCCUGCCACUGUUCCUCUGGCCGCUCAGCGCUGAUGCCUGCUGGUGGCCUGCCCGUGUGUUGGCCCUGUACUCGGGGCGUGUGUCACGCCACUUGGCCUUAAGUCACCUGGGAAUCCCCUUGGCGCGUUGAGGUCUGAGGCCUCCGUGCAGCCCCUUUUGUCUUGCCCCUUUUUUCCUAGGGCAGAACAGAGCUGUGUGGUAGUUGCGUGGCCAUGGCCGCCCUGUAUCCAGGGUUUGGGUCUGUGCCUGUGUGGCCCCCUGUCCUGCUGGCGACACGCCAGCGUGACAGCCCCGUACUCGGGGCGUGUGUCACAAACUGUGGAGCCCUCUGUCCCCGGAGCGGCCCGCCCCCCCUGUAAUCAGGUCUGGGGAGGCUGCGUUGGUGCAGCCGGCUGCUUUAGCCAGCUGGUGGGAGUGACCCCUCCCUGGCCCGUUAGAGGGUGCAGGUUGAGGUGCUACUUGUGGCUGGGGCGACCUCCCCGCUGUGUGGGUAGAGGUUGUUCCCUGGGCUCCUGAAGACGUGGUGAUGAUUGUGCUGCGGCCGGGCGGGCCCGCCUGUACCUCGGGCGUUGGCAGGAGCUGCGUGCUCCGUGGGGCUUUUGGACGUGGUGCGGCGUGGGGUACCGUCCUGUAGUCAGGGCUGUGCGUGCCCCCUGCGCUUAGGAGGAUGAGUUCUGAGAGACCCCCUGUACUCAGGUGGGUACCUUCGGCCCGGCCUUUCAGAGGCGUGGUGCUGAGAGAUGUGGGGUUGGGAUCUCGGCCUUUGGCCGUGCCGCCCUGCUGCCUGGCCGCUGAGAGUCGUUCCUGCUGGCGAGGGGGAAACCGAGCUCUGUGGCUCCUGGGUGUCAUCGCCCCGCCUGUAAGCAGGGUCUGUGGGUGGGAGCCUUUGUGCUCCGCUGGCAGCCUGUGUGGGGCGACCGCCCUGAUAGCAGGGUUUGGGUCAAGGUGCCCCUGACUGGGGGAGAAGGAGCCCCCCGUGGCCUUCUGGGACCGGGGCUGCCCUGUAAGUCAGGGUGUGGCUGAGCCCUGGGGUACCAGGCCCUUUGCGGUGGAAGCGGCGACCGGGGCCCCUCUGUAAGCAGGGGUGUGGACCCUUUGGCCGCCACGUUGUGUGCCCAGCCCCAUUUGCCCAGGCUGCCCGACUCUGCGGCCCGUUGCAGCAGCGUCUGGAAGUCCGCGGCGCAUGGAAGUGGAGCUCCCGCAGAAGACGGCGGAAGAAGCCACGUGUGGAACCGGGCGGCAGGAGGAUGCAAGCAGAGGGAGCAAGAAGAGGAAGCAGAAGACUGCGGCUGGGCUAAGGGAGAGGCGGCCUGGGCAAAAGCAUCUCCCUGUCACCAGGGGCAUAGUCAUGUCACAGUAGAGCGUUGCCGGCACUUUAGGUGACCAGGCCGGCUUUGUGCUGGGCGACCUCCCUGUAAGCAGGGCUCGGGUCUUUGCUGUAGUUGGCCUUUUGCCUUGUUGCUCCUUUGGCUGCCUGGGGAAGGUGGGCCCCUGUAAGGAGGGCGAGAGCCGCUUUCUCCGCACCCGAGUGGGAAAUGGAGCUCGCUGGACCCCACGGGCACCCUGUAAGCAGGGUAGCGCCCUUCCCCUGCCACUGUUCCUCUGGCCGCUCAGCGCUGAUGCCUGCUGGUGGCCUGCCCAUGUGUUGGCCCUGUACUCGGGGCGUGUGUCACGCCACUUGGCCUUAAGUCACCUGGGAAUCCCCUUGGCGCGUUGAGGUCUGAGGCCUCCGUGCAGCCCCGGGGCGGGACAGAGGCUCUUGUCUGCUGCUCGUGGGUACGGGGUUUUAUUUCCCCAGGCCUUGGCUGCACUGCCUUCUCCUUCCGUUCUGGAAAGCCCUGUCUGUGUGGUUGUGUUCCCCUUCCUUCCCUUGUUUGCUUUUGUGUGUGUGACUGUGCGAUUGAAGUCUCCCCUUAGGCCUCCAUGACUAUGGCUGCAGCUUAGCUGUGGCUUCCCAGGGGGGAAUGGAGGACUCGGUGGAUGCAGCAAGGGGGAUGUUCCCUCUUAGCUCCGCGAGUGGUGCAAGUGUCCUUUUGUCUUGCCCCUUUUUUCCUAGGGCAGAACAGAGCUGUGUGGUAGUUGCGUGGCCAUGGCCGCCCUGUAUCCAGGGUUUGGGUCUGUGCCUGUGUGGCCCCCUGUCCUGCUGGCGACACGCCAGCGUGACAGCCCCGUACUCGGGGCGUGUGUCACAAACUGUGGAGCCCUCUGUCCCCGGAGCGGCCCGCCCCCCCUGUAAUCAGGUCUGGGGAGGCUGCGUUGGUGCAGCCGGCUGCUUUAGCCAGCUGGUGGGAGUGACCCCUCCCUGGCCCGUUAGAGGGUGCAGGUUGAGGUGCUACUUGUGGCUGGGGCGACCUCCCCGCUGUGUGGGUAGAGGUUGUUCCCUGGGCUCCUGAAGACGUGGUGAUGAUUGUGCUGCGGCCGGGCGGGCCCGCCUGUACCUCGGGCGUUGGCAGGAGCUGCGUGCUCCGUGGGGCUUUUGGACGUGGUGCGGCGUGGGGUACCGUCCUGUAGUCAGGGCUGUGCGUGCCCCCUGCGCUUAGGAGGAUGAGUUCUGAGAGACCCCCUGUACUCAGGUGGGUACCUUCGGCCCGGCCUUUCAGAGGCGUGGUGCUGAGAGAUGUGGGGUUGGGAUCUCGGCCUUUGGCCGUGCCGCCCUGCUGCCUGGCCGCUGAGAGUCGUUCCUGCUGGCGAGGGGGAAACCGAGCUCUGUGGCUCCUGGGUGUCAUCGCCCCGCCUGUAAGCAGGGUCUGUGGGUGGGAGCCUUUGUGCUCCGCUGGCAGCCUGUGUGGGGCGACCGCCCUGAUAGCAGGGUUUGGGUCAAGGUGCCCCUGACUGGGGGAGAAGGAGCCCCCCGUGGCCUUCUGGGACCGGGGCUGCCCUGUAAGUCAGGGUGUGGCUGAGCCCUGGGGUACCAGGCCCUUUGCGGUGGAAGCGGCGACCGGGGCCCCUCUGUAAGCAGGGGUGUGGACCCUUUGGCCGCCACGUUGUGUGCCCAGCCCCAUUUGCCCAGGCUGCCCGACUCUGCGGCCCGUUGCAGCAGCGUCUGGAAGUCCGCGGCGCAUGGAAGUGGAGCUCCCGCAGAAGACGGCGGAAGAAGCCACGUGUGGAACCGGGCGGCAGGAGGAUGCAAGCGGAGGGAGCAAGAAGAGGAAGCAGAAGACUGCGGCUGGGCUAAGGGAGAGGCGGCCUGGGCAAAAGCAUCUCCCUGUCACCAGGGGCAUAGUCAUGUCGCAGUAGAGCGUUGCCGGCACUUUAGGUGACCAGGCCGGCUUUGUGCUGGGCGACCUCCCUGUAAGCAGGGCUCGGGUCUUUGCUGUAGUUGGCCUUUUGCCUUGUUGCUCCUUUGGCUGCCUGGGGAAGGUGGGCCCCUGUAAGGAGGGCGAGAGCCGCUUUCUCCGCACCCGAGUGGGAAAUGGAGCUCGCUGGACCCCACGGGCACCCUGUAAGCAGGGUAGCGCCCUUCCCCUGCCACUGUUCCUCUGGCCGCUCAGCGCUGAUGCCUGCUGGUGGCCUGCCCGUGUGUUGGCCCUGUACUCGGGGCGUGUGUCACGCCACUUGGCCUUAAGUCACCUGGGAAUCCCCUUGGCGCGUUGAGGUCUGAGGCCUCCGUGCAGCCCCGGGGCGGGACAGAGGCUCUUGUCUGCUGCUCGUGGGUACGGGGUUUUAUUUCCCCAGGCCUUGGCUGCACUGCCUUCUCCUUCCGUUCUGGAAAGCCCUGUCUGUGUGGUUGUGUUCCCCUUCCUUCCCUUGUUUGCUUUUGUGUGUGUGACUGUGCGAUUGAAGUCUCCCCUUAGGCCUCCAUGACUAUGGCUGCAGCUUAGCUGUGGCUUCCCAGGGGGGAAUGGAGGACUCGGUGGAUGCAGCAAGGGGGAUGUUCCCUCUUAGCUCCGCGAGUGGUGCAAGUGUCCUUUUGUCUUGCCCCUUUUUUCCUAGGGCAGAACAGAGCUGUGUGGUAGUUGCGUGGCCAUGGCCGCCCUGUAUCCAGGGUUUGGGUCUGUGCCUGUGUGGCCCCCUGUCCUGCUGGCGACACGCCAGCGUGACAGCCCCGUACUCGGGGCGUGUGUCACAAACUGUGGAGCCCUCUGUCCCCGGAGCGGCCCGCCCCCCCUGUAAUCAGGUCUGGGGAGGCUGCGUUGGUGCAGCCGGCUGCUUUAGCCAGCUGGUGGGAGUGACCCCUCCCUGGCCCGUUAGAGGGUGCAGGUUGAGGUGCUACUUGUGGCUGGGGCGACCUCCCCGCUGUGUGGGUAGAGGUUGUUCCCUGGGCUCCUGAAGACGUGGUGAUGAUUGUGCUGCGGCCGGGCGGGCCCGCCUGUACCUCGGGCGUUGGCAGGAGCUGCGUGCUCCGUGGGGCUUUUGGACGUGGUGCGGCGUGGGGUACCGUCCUGUAGUCAGGGCUGUGCGUGCCCCCUGCGCUUAGGAGGAUGAGUUCUGAGAGACCCCCUGUACUCAGGUGGGUACCUUCGGCCCGGCCUUUCAGAGGCGUGGUGCUGAGAGAUGUGGGGUUGGGAUCUCGGCCUUUGGCCGUGCCGCCCUGCUGCCUGGCCGCUGAGAGUCGUUCCUGCUGGCGAGGGGGAAACCGAGCUCUGUGGCUCCUGGGUGUCAUCGCCCCGCCUGUAAGCAGGGUCUGUGGGUGGGAGCCUUUGUGCUCCGCUGGCAGCCUGUGUGGGGCGACCGCCCUGAUAGCAGGGUUUGGGUCAAGGUGCCCCUGACUGGGGGAGAAGGAGCCCCCCGUGGCCUUCUGGGACCGGGGCUGCCCUGUAAGUCAGGGUGUGGCUGAGCCCUGGGGUACCAGGCCCUUUGCGGUGGAAGCGGCGACCGGGGCCCCUCUGUAAGCAGGGGUGUGGACCCUUUGGCCGCCACGUUGUGUGCCCAGCCCCAUUUGCCCAGGCUGCCCGACUCUGCGGCCCGUUGCAGCAGCGUCUGGAAGUCCGCGGCGCAUGGAAGUGGAGCUCCCGCAGAAGACGGCGGAAGAAGCCACGUGUGGAACCGGGCGGCAGGAGGAUGCAAGCAGAGGGAGCAAGAAGAGGAAGCAGAAGACUGCGGCUGGGCUAAGGGAGAGGCGGCCUGGGCAAAAGCAUCUCCCUGUCACCAGGGGCAUAGUCAUGUCGCAGUAGAGCGUUGCCGGCACUUUAGGUGACCAGGCCGGCUUUGUGCUGGGCGACCUCCCUGUAAGCAGGGCUCGGGUCUUUGCUGUAGUUGGCCUUUUGCCUUGUUGCUCCUUUGGCUGCCUGGGGAAGGUGGGCCCCUGUAAGGAGGGCGAGAGCCGCUUUCUCCGCACCCGAGUGGGAAAUGGAGCUCGCUGGACCCCACGGGCACCCUGUAAGCAGGGUAGUGCCCUUCCCCUGCCACUGUUCCUCUGGCCGCUCAGCGCUGAUGCCUGCUGGUGGCCUGCCCGUGUGUUGGCCCUGUACUCGGGGCGUGUGUCACGCCACUUGGCCUUAAGUCACCUGGGAAUCCCCUUGGCGCGUUGAGGUCUGAGGCCUCCGUGCAGCCCCGGGGCGUGCAGCCCCUUUUGUCUUGCCCCUUUUUUCCUAGGGCAGAACAGAGCUGUGUGGUAGUUGCGUGGCCAUGGCCGCCCUGUAUCCAGGGUUUGGGUCUGUGCCUGUGUGGCCCCCUGUCCUGCUGGCGACACGCCAGCGUGACAGCCCCGUACUCGGGGCGUGUGUCACAAACUGUGGAGCCCUCUGUCCCCGGAGCGGCCCGCCCCCCCUGUAAUCAGGUCUGGGGAGGCUGCGUUGGUGCAGCCGGCUGCUUUAGCCAGCUGGUGGGAGUGACCCCUCCCUGGCCCGUUAGAGGGUGCAGGUUGAGGUGCUACUUGUGGCUGGGGCGACCUCCCCGCUGUGUGGGUAGAGGUUGUUCCCUGGGCUCCUGAAGACGUGGUGAUGAUUGUGCUGCGGCCGGGCGGGCCCGCCUGUACCUCGGGCGUUGGCAGGAGCUGCGUGCUCCGUGGGGCUUUUGGACGUGGUGCGGCGUGGGGUACCGUCCUGUAGUCAGGGCUGUGCGUGCCCCCUGCGCUUAGGAGGAUGAGUUCUGAGAGACCCCCUGUACUCAGGUGGGUACCUUCGGCCCGGCCUUUCAGAGGCGUGGUGCUGAGAGAUGUGGGGUUGGGAUCUCGGCCUUUGGCCGUGCCGCCCUGCUGCCUGGCCGCUGAGAGUCGUUCCUGCUGGCGAGGGGGAAACCGAGCUCUGUGGCUCCUGGGUGUCAUCGCCCCGCCUGUAAGCAGGGUCUGUGGGUGGGAGCCUUUGUGCUCCGCUGGCAGCCUGUGUGGGGCGACCGCCCUGAUAGCAGGGUUUGGGUCAAGGUGCCCCUGACUGGGGGAGAAGGAGCCCCCCGUGGCCUUCUGGGACCGGGGCUGCCCUGUAAGUCAGGGUGUGGCUGAGCCCUGGGGUACCAGGCCCUUUGCGGUGGAAGCGGCGACCGGGGCCCCUCUGUAAGCAGGGGUGUGGACCCUUUGGCCGCCACGUUGUGUGCCCAGCCCCAUUUGCCCAGGCUGCCCGACUCUGCGGCCCGUUGCAGCAGCGUCUGGAAGUCCGCGGCGCAUGGAAGUGGAGCUCCCGCAGAAGACGGCGGAAGAAGCCACGUGUGGAACCGGGCGGCAGGAGGAUGCAAGCAGAAGGAGCAAGAAGAGGAAGCAGAAGACUGCGGCUGGGCUAAGGGAGAGGCGGCCUGGGCAAAAGCAUCUCCCUGUCACCAGGGGCAUAGUCAUGUCGCAGUAGAGCGUUGCCGGCACUUUAGGUGACCAGGCCGGCUUUGUGCUGGGCGACCUCCCUGUAAGCAGGGCUCGGGUCUUUGCUGUAGUUGGCCUUUUGCCUUGUUGCUCCUUUGGCUGCCUGGGGAAGGUGGGCCCCUGUAAGGAGGGCGAGAGCCGCUUUCUCCGCACCCGAGUGGGAAAUGGAGCUCGCUGGACCCCACGGGCACCCUGUAAGCAGGGUAGCGCCCUUCCCCUGCCACUGUUCCUCUGGCCGCUCAGCGCUGAUGCCUGCUGGUGGCCUGCCCGUGUGUUGGCCCUGUACUCGGGACGUGUGUCACGCCACUUGGCCUUAAGUCACCUGGGAAUCCCCUUGGCGCGUUGAGGUCUGAGGCCUCCGUGCAGCCCCGGGGCGGGACAGAGGCUCUUGUCUGCUGCUCGUGGGUACGGGGUUUUAUUUCCCCAGGCCUUGGCUGCACUGCCUUCUCCUUCCGUUCUGGAAAGCCCUGUCUGUGUGGUUGUGUUCCCCUUCCUUCCCUUGUUUGCUUUUGUGUGUGUGACUGUGCGAUUGAAGUCUCCCCUUAGGCCUCCAUGACUAUGGCUGCAGCUUAGCUGUGGCUUCCCAGGGGGGAAUGGAGGACUCGGUGGAUGCAGCAAGGGGGAUGUUCCCUCUUAGCUCCGCGAGUGGUGCAAGUGUCCUUUUGUCUUGCCCCUUUUUUCCUAGGGCAGAACAGAGCUGUGUGGUAGUUGCGUGGCCAUGGCCGCCCUGUAUCCAGGGUUUGGGUCUGUGCCUGUGUGGCCCCCUGUCCUGCUGGCGACACGCCAGCGUGACAGCCCCGUACUCGGGGCGUGUGUCACAAACUGUGGAGCCCUCUGUCCCCGGAGCGGCCCGCCCCCCCUGUAAUCAGGUCUGGGGAGGCUGCGUUGGUGCAGCCGGCUGCUUUAGCCAGCUGGUGGGAGUGACCCCUCCCUGGCCCGUUAGAGGGUGCAGGCUGAGGUGCUACUUGUGGCUGGGGCGACCUCCCCGCUGUGUGGGUAGAGGUUGUUCCCUGGGCUCCUGAAGACGUGGUGAUGAUUGUGCUGCGGCCGGGCGGGCCCGCCUGUACCUCGGGCGUUGGCAGGAGCUGCGUGCUCCGUGGGGCUUUUGGACGUGGUGCGGCGUGGGGUACCGUCCUGUAGUCAGGGCUGUGCGUGCCCCCUGCGCUUAGGAGGAUGAGUUCUGAGAGACCCCCUGUACUCAGGUGGGUACCUUCGGCCCGGCCUUUCAGAGGCGUGGUGCUGAGAGAUGUGGGGUUGGGAUCUCGGCCUUUGGCCGUGCCGCCCUGCUGCCUGGCCGCUGAGAGUCGUUCCUGCUGGCGAGGGGGAAACCGAGCUCUGUGGCUCCUGGGUGUCAUCGCCCCGCCUGUAAGCAGGGUCUGUGGGUGGGAGCCUUUGUGCUCCGCUGGCAGCCUGUGUGGGGCGACCGCCCUGAUAGCAGGGUUUGGGUCAAGGUGCCCCUGACUGGGGGAGAAGGAGCCCCCCGUGGCCUUCUGGGACCGGGGCUGCCCUGUAAGUCAGGGUGUGGCUGAGCCCUGGGGUACCAGGCCCUUUGCGGUGGAAGCGGCGACCGGGGCCCCUCUGUAAGCAGGGGUGUGGACCCUUUGGCCGCCACGUUGUGUGCCCAGCCCCAUUUGCCCAGGCUGCCCGACUCUGCGGCCCGUUGCAGCAGCGUCUGGAAGUCCGCGGCGCAUGGAAGUGGAGCUCCCGCAGAAGACGGCGGAAGAAGCCGCAUGUGGAACCGGAGCACAUGAGGGAGGAAGAGGCUGAUGCUGAGGUUGGGCAGUGUUUUGUAAUUAGACCAAUUUUUCUUAAUAUUUAUGGUGUUUCCCCUUAACAUAUAUGCUUUGGUUAUUCACCAAAAUUAUGUACUACCCCCUGUAUUAAAAGUUUUUUUCUUGUUGA